rnacentral:hammerhead_ribozyme from 1 species
AUCCAGCUGACGAGUCUCAAAUAGGACGAAACGCGCGUCAAGCUGGAU